rnacentral:lncRNA from 1 species
GGCGCGCGGGGCGACACUGAAGCGGCCCAUGGAGUUCGAGGCGGCGCUGCUGAGCCCCGGUUCCCGGAAGCGGCGACGCUGCGCCCCUCUGCCGGGGCCCCACUCCGGGCCUCAGGUCCCCGGACGCCGAGCCGCCACAGCUUCAGAUCCAGACGCCGCCGGCGAGCCUCCAGCAGCCUGCCCCGCCUGGCAGCGAGCGUCGCCUUCCAACUCCCGAGCAAAUUUUUCAGAACAUAAAACAAGAAUAUAAUCAUUACCAGAGAUGGAGACAUUUAGAAGUACUUCAGAAAGUCAGCCUUCCUCCUCGGCACUUACCGCACCAAGUUCUCCAGGUGCUUUCUGGAUGAAGAAGGACCAGCCCACUUUACCCUUCGACAAGUGGGGAUAAUAUGUGAGCGGCUCUUAAAAGACUAUGAAGAUAAAGUCCGAGAGGAGUAUGAGCAGAUCCUCAGUACCAAACUCGCAGAACAGUAUGAAUCGUUUGUGAAAUUCACGCAUGAUCAGAUCAUGCGGCAAUACGGGACAAGGCCAACAAGCUAUGUAU